rnacentral:rRNA from 1 species
AUUGAACGCUGGCGGCAUGCCUUACACAUGCAAGUCGAACGGCAGCGGACCUUCGGGUGCCGGCGAGUGGCGAACGGGUGAGUAAUAUAUCGGAACGUACCUUUCAGUGGGGGAGUAACGUAGCGAAAGUUACGCUAAUACCGCAUAUUCUGUGAGCAGGAAAGCAGGGGAGUCGCAAGACCUUGCGCUGAUUGAGCGGCCGAUAUCAGAUUAGCUAGUUGGUGAGGUAAAGGCUCACCAAGGCGACGAUCUGUAGCGGGUCUGAGAGGAUGAUCCGCCACACUGGAACUGAGACACGGUCCAGACUCCUACGGGAGGCAGCAGUGGGGAAUUUUGGACAAUGGGCGCAAGCCUGAUCCAGCCAUGCCGCGUGAGUGAAGAAGGCCU